rnacentral:lncRNA from 1 species
AGCUGUUUCAGCUUUUUCGGAAAGCUAUAUUUUUGACAAAAAUGCCCAUAUUAAAAUAACAUAAUUACAUAGUUUAUCCCUGUAUAAACCUAAAAAUCUGCUGGAGCCAAGAACCCAAGCCGUCAGACUCCCUUCCGUAAGAAAAGGUAUUUUUCUUUUCAAUUUUUGUAUGCAUCUCUUGAACCACAUUUUAGAAAAAAAAAAUUUAAUCCUUUUCUAUAUCUUCCAAAAUCAAUUUAUUGUUUUUUUUUAUCAUCAACCUCGUGGCCCACGUUGAGGUCCUCCUCGAGCGUGGACCAUGAAGAAGAGCCCCUGGACCGCGGAAAAUUAUUUUAUGAAAAAUUAUGAAAAAUUAUUAUGGAAAAUUAUUUUAUACUAAUAAUUAUAAUAUU